rnacentral:rRNA from 1 species
UACGUAGGGGGCAAGCGUUGUCCGGAAUUAUUGGGCGUAAAGAGCGCGUAGGCGGUCCGAUAAGUCGGCUGUGAAAGUCAGGGGCUCAACCCUUGAAAGCCGGCCGAUACUGUCGGACUAGAGUCCGGAAGAGGCGAGUGGAAUUCCCGGUGUAGCGGUGAAAUGCGUAGAUAUCUGGAGGAAUACCGGUGGCGAAGGCGGCAUCCUGGACCGACAUUGACGCUGAACGGCGAAAGCUAGGGGAGCAAACGGG